UACGAAGGGUGCAAGCGUUACUCGGAAUUACUGGGCGUAAAGCGUGCGUAGGUGGUUCGUUAAGUCUGAUGUGAAAGCCCUGGGCUCAACCUGGGAAUGGCAUUGGAUACUGGCGACCUAGAGUGCGGUAGAGGGGUGUGGAGUUCCCGGUGUAGCAGUGAAAUGCGUAGAUAUCGGGAGGAACAUCUGUGGCGAAGGCGACACCCUGGACCAGCACUGACACUGAGGCACGAAAGCGUGGGGAGCAAACAGG
rnacentral:rRNA from 1 species